CAGUCGCCGCGGUAAUACGUAGGUGGCGAGCGUUGUCCGGAAUUAUUGGGCGUAAAGGGCUCGCAGGCGGUUCCUUAAGUCUGAUGUGAAAGCCCCCGGCUCAACCGGGGAGGGUCAUUGGAAACUGGGAAACUUGAGUGCAGAAGAGGAGAGUGGAAUUCCACGUGUAGCGGUGAAAUGCGUAGAGAUGUGGAGGAACACCAGUGGCGAAGGCGACUCUCUGGUCUGUAACUGACGCUGAAGAGCGAAAGCGUGGGGAGCGAACAGGAUUAGAUACCCCUGUAGUCCCUGUCUCUUAUAC
rnacentral:rRNA from 1 species